rnacentral:rRNA from 1 species
AUACGUAGGGUGCAAGCGUUAAUCGGAAUUACUGGGCGUAAAGCGUGCGCAGGCGGUUUUGUAAGACAGGUGUGAAAUCCCCGAGCUCAACUUGGGAACUGCACUUGUGACUGCAAGACUAGAGUGUGUCAGAGGGAGGUAGAAUUCCACGUGUAGCAGUGAAAUGCGUAGAUAUGUGGAGGAAUACCAGUGGCGAAGGCGGCCUCCUGGGAUAACACUGACGCUCAUGUACGAAAGCGUGGGGAGCAAACAGGAUUAGAUACCCUGGUAGUCCACGCCCUAAACGAUGUCAACUGGUUGUUGGGGAUUCAUUUCCUUAGUAACGAAGCUAACGCGUGAAGUUGACCGCCUGGGGAGUACGGUCGCAAGAUUAAA